rnacentral:rRNA from 1 species
UAACGCGUGAGGAACCUGCCUCAAAGAGGGGGACAACAGUUGGAAACGACUGCUAAUACCGCAUAAGCCCACGGUGCCGCAUGGCACAGAGGGAAAAGGAGCAAUCCGCUUUGAGAUGGCCUCGCGUCCGAUUAGCUAGUUGGUGAGGUAACGGCCCACCAAGGCGACGAUCGGUAGCCGGACUGAGAGGUUGAACGGCCACAUUGGGACUGAGACACGGCCCAGACUCCUACGGGAGGCAGCAGUGGGGAAUAUUGCACAAUGGGGGAAACCCUGAUGCAGCGACGCCGCGUGGAGGAAGAAGGUCUUCGGAUUGUAAACUCCUGUUGUUGGGGAAGAUAAUGACGGUACCCAACAAGGAAGUGACGGCUAACUACGUGCCAGCAGCCGCGGUAAAACGUAGGUCACGAGCGUUGUCCGGAAUUACUGGGUGUAAAGGGAGCGCAGGCGGGAAGACAAGUUGGAAGUGAAAUCUAUGGGCUCAACCCAUAAACUGCUUUCAAAACUGUUUUUCUUGAGUAGUGCAGAGGUAGGCGGAAUUCCCGGUGUAGCGGUGGAAUGCGUAGAUAUCGGGAGGAACACCAGUGGCGAAGGCGGCCUACUGGGCACCAACUGACGCUGAGGCUCGAAAGUGUGGGUAGCAAACAGGAUUAGAUACCCUGGUAGUCCACACCGUAAACGAUGAUUACUAGGUGU